GCUCUGUAUCUGCUUCCUCUUCCUCUGCCCCAGUGGUAGUUACUCCCUCUGGGUUUUAAGUUGUAGUGUGCCAGCCUUGAUUUUCUGAGACUUUAUCUUCUAUUUGUAAAAAUAUCCCCAACUAACUUGUGAAUGUGUUUAUCUGCUAGGAAGAUGCGUGCUAUCCGGAAUGUGCACAGAAUGCCUUCCAACAAUUCCACCAAAGAGAUAAACGGAUGAGGUAUGACAGAGGAAGUUCUGUGGUGGGGGCAGGAAAGAUUUCAAGUUUCUAACAGUCUGCAGUUGCCCAGGGCCAAAGUCUGCCAAACGAUCAGCCACACGUACCUGUAAACAUGGGAGUCACUAAGUAAUUCUCUUCAUUGGUGUCUUACCAGAACCUAGCCCCGUGUCUCCAAGGAGAAGGCCCUCAACAAAUACUGAUAGAGGGAAGGAGCAAAUGCAUGGAUGGUUCCAUGGAGAGAGGAGACGAUGGCCACCAAAUCUCCCUGUGCGGGGGUCCUUUACAAGCCAAGGCCUCCCUGGCUGUCUGUUGAAGCCCACAGACCACUUCUCAGAACAGUGGUUUUAAAUGCAGAGUAUGGCACAGGAAACAAAUCACAUUGAAAUACAGAUAAAAGAAAUGGAUUAUGGUGAACUAUACUGAAGUUAAAAUAGAAAACGAAAUUGUGACAUCAUCACAAAUACAGUUCUGGGACCUGCGCUGGGCUCGUCAAGUCCCAGGCACCUGUGUAGAAAGAUCGGGCUGGGCUGCGUACUGGUGACGUCACCAACGGACAGCAUCCACAGGUUUUGUUCUCGGUUUCUCAGGGAGGAAUCCUCCAAAUUCCCGUCUAGGUGAAAUCUCAGAGCGAAGCGGCAGGAAGAGGCCAUGGGAGCUCCACGGUUCACACCACCCACUAGUUUUCUUGUUGUGGGCUCAUCUUCAGUCCCUCAUCCCUGAAUCCAGUCUUUCUAUUUAACCCUUUCAGUCUUCCUUGAAGGUACAUAGUUGCGUACGUUACAAAGUGAACAGCCAGCUCUAUGCAGCGGUCCAGGUAUUGACA